rnacentral:rRNA from 1 species
UGCAACUCGCCUGCACGAAGUCGGAAUUGCUAGUAAUCGUAGGCCAGCAUACUACGGUGAAUACGUUCCCGGGCCUUGUACACACCGCCCGUCAAACCAUGAGAGUUGGCAACACCCGAAGUCGGUAGUCUAACCGCAAGGAGGACGCCGCCGAAGGUGGGGUUGAUGAUUAGGGUUAAGUCGUAACAAGGUACC